UCAUGGACCCCGCCGCCCCUGCCACAAAUUUCUUCACUGCACUCUUCCCUACCACAACAAUAUUCCUGUUUAGUUCUUCAUAGCAAAUUCCCCUGGAAACCCACUCAUUGCUCAACACGUCAUCACAUAGGAACUUGAAUACAAAAUGAUUUGUGAGCAGGAGAAAGAGAGAUUUCUGAAGAACCUAGCAGCAGAUCAUCCUUUUAGUAGUCUGUCUGACCUGGCAGCAUGCCAU
rnacentral:lncRNA from 1 species